rnacentral:rRNA from 1 species
UACAGAGGUCUCAAGCGUUGUUCGGAUUCAUUGGGCGUAAAGGGUGUGUAGGUGGCGCCGUAAGUCGGGUGUGAAAUUUCGGAGCUUAACUCCGAAACUGCAUUCGAUACUGCGGUGCUUGAGGACUGGAGAGGAGACUGGAAUUCUCGGUGUAGCAGUGAAAUGCGUAGAUAUCGAGAGGAACACCAGUGGCGAAGGCGAGUCCCUGGACAACUCCUGACACUGAGGCACGAAAGCCUAGGGGGAGCAAACAGG